rnacentral:rRNA from 1 species
UACGGAGGAUGCAAGCGUUAUCCGGAAUGAUUGGGCGUAAAGCGUCCGCAGGUGGCUAUGUAAGUCUGCUGUUAAAGAGUGAGGCUCAACCUCAUAAGAGCAGUGGAAACUACAUGGCUAGAGUGCGUUCGGGGCAGAGGGAAUUCCUGGUGUAGCGGUGAAAUGCGUAGAGAUCAGGAAGAACACCGGUGGCGAAAGCGCUCUGCUAGGCCGCAACUGACACUGAGGGGCGAAAGCUAGGGGAGCGAAUGGG